rnacentral:misc_RNA from 1 species
AACCCAUAUUUUUCCUUGGGCUUUGGCCAGCCCAGGCCCACCUCUGUCCUUGCAAUUUUCUCCUGCUGUUGGACACUUGACUCAUUUCUCUUUCACCACUCACAGGCCCAUAGGUCAUUUAACCGACCCGAAACACAACCACCAAAGAUGUACACGCGUCGAUUAUCGGAAGCGGUUGAGUGGUAGCUCCGGUGAGGCGGGCCGCUGUCACCACUAGAUAGUAGCGUCCACUUGUUUGUAAAUGUGUCAUAAGGGUAGAGCUCGUUCAGCUCCUUAUGCGUAGCGUCCGUACCACCAAACACAUAGAUGGUUUUGCCUACAGAGGCCAUCGUGACACCAACCCGCGGCGGAGGA